CAUAUCAAUAAGCGGAGGAAAAGAAACCAACAGGGAUUGCCCCAGUAACGGCGAGUGAAGCGGCAAUAGCUCAAAUUUGAAAUCUGGCUCUUUCAGAGUCCGAGUUGUAAUUUGCAGAGGGCGCUUUGGCUUUGGCAGCGGUCCAAGUUCUUUGGAACAGGACGUCACAGAGGGUGAGAAUCCCGUACGUGGUCGCUAGCCUCUGCCGUGUAAAGCCCCUUCGACGAGUCGAGUUGUUUGGGAAUGCAGCUCUAAAUGGGAGGUAAAUUUCUUCUAAAGCUAAAUACUGGCCAGAGACCGAUAGCGCACAAGUAGAGUGAUCGAAAGAUGAAAAGCACUUUGGAAAGAGAGUCAAAUAGCACGUGAAAUUGUUGAAAGGGAAGCGCUUGCAGCCAGACUUGCCUGUAGUUGCUUAUCCGGACUCUUGUCCGGUGCACUCUUCUGCGGGCAGGCCAGCAUCAGUUUAGGCGGUUGGAUAAAGGUCUCUGACACGUUCCUUUCUUCGGAUUGGCCAUAUAGGGGAGACGACAUGCAACCAGCCUGAACUGAGGUCCGCGCAUCUGCUAGGAUGCUGGCGUAAUGGCUGUAAGCGGCCCGUCUUGAAACACGGACCAAGGAGUCUAACAUCUAUGCGAGUGUUUGGGUGUCAAGCCCAGACGCGUAAUGAAAGUGAACGGAGGUGGGAACCCUUUGGGUGCACCAUCGACCGAUCCUGAUGUCUUCGGAUGGAUUUGAGUAAGAGCAUGGCUGUUGGGACCCGAAAGAUGGUGAACUAUGCUUGAAUAGGGUGAAGCCAGAGGAAACUCUGGUGGAGGCUCGCAGCGGUUCUGACGUGCAAAUCGAUCGUCAAAUUUGGGCAUAGGGGCGAAAGACUAAUCGAAC
rnacentral:rRNA from 1 species